rnacentral:piRNA from 1 species
UAGGGGUGCUCCCCAAGAAGAUCAGGACUGC